AACGAACGCUGGCGGCGCGUCUUAAGCAUGCAAGUCGAACGGCAUGAGGAAGCUUGCUUCCUCAGAGAGUGGCGGACUGGUGAGUAACACGUGGGUGACCUACCCUUGAGAUGGGGAUAGCCAUUAGAAAUAGUGGAUAAUACCGAAUACGCUCUACGGACUCUGGUUUGUAGAGGAAACAGGCUACGGCCUGGCUCGAGGAUGGGCCCGCGUCCCAUUAGCUAGUUGGUGAGGUAAGAGCCCACCAAGGCGACGAUGGGUAUCCGGCCUGAGAGGGUGUACGGACACAUUGGGGACUGAGAUACGGCCCAAAACUCCUACGGGAGGCAGCAGCUAAGAAUAUUCCGCAAUGGACGAAAGUCUGACGGAGCGGCGCCGCGUGGAUGACGAAGGCCGAAAGGUUGUAAAAUCCUUUUGCUGAUGAAGAAUAAGCGUGGUAGGGAAUGACCGCGUGAUGACAUUAGUCGGUGAAUAAGCCCCGGCUAACUACGUGCCAGC
rnacentral:rRNA from 1 species